rnacentral:rRNA from 1 species
CGGGGGGGUGCCUUCGGGAACGCAGUGACAGGUGGUGCAAGGCUGUCGUCAGCUCGUGUCGUGAGAUGUUGGGUUAAGUCCCGCAACGAGCGCAACCCACGUCGUUAGUUGCCAGCAUUCAGUUGGGCACUCUAGCGAGACCGCCGGUGAUAAACCGGAGGAAGGUGUGGAUGACGUCAAGUCAUCGUGCCCCUUACAUCCUGGGCUACACACGUACUACAAUGCUACGGACAAAGGGCCGCAAGCUCGCGAGAGUUAGCAAAUCCCAUAAACCGUGGCUCAGUUCAGAUCGUAGGCUGCAACUCGCCUACGUGAAGGAGGAAUCGCUAGUAAUCGCAGGUCAGCAUACUGCGGUGAAUACGUUCCCGGGCCUUGUACACACCGCCCGUCACACCAUGGAAGUUGGCCACG